rnacentral:rRNA from 1 species
AUGUAUGGAAACUACGACGGCCUUGACAGUCCGCCCGUGUUUGACCUCUAUGUUGGCGUCAACCUGUGGACGACGGUAAACAUCACGGGGCCGGAAGGGAAGGUGUCCACAGAGGUUAUUGUUGUGGUGCCGGACGACUUUUUGCAGGUCUGCCUGGUGAACACCGGCGCCGGGACGCCCUUCAUCUCUGGCCUGGAGCUGAGGCUGCUGCACAGGACGCUCUACCCGCAGGCAACCACGACGCAGGGCCUCGUCCUCUCGUCCAGGCUCAACUUCGGCCCAACCAGCGAAAACAAUGUCAUCAGGUACCCGGACGACCCACACGACAGAAUAUGGGUCCCUCGGGUCAACUCGGCAACCUGGACCGAGAUAACAACGACGAACACGGUGCAGCACGAAGAAGGUGACUUGUUCGAAGUGCCAACUGCGGUGAUGCAGACAGUAAUCAUGCCGCGGCGGAACGCGUCCAACGGCAUAGAGUUCUCCUGGGAUCCCGUGGCGCAGUCCAGCGACCCAUCGCCGGGGUACAUCGCAAUCAUGCAUUUCUCCGAGCUGCAGCUCCUCACAAGCAACAACGUGCGUGAAUUUUUCGUGAGCAUCAACGGCGAGCCAUGGCACCCAAACGGCUUCACACCCAAGUACCUCUAUGGCAGCGCCACUUACAAUAGCUUGCCCUCUCGGAAGAGCCAGUAUAACGUCUCCAUCAUCGCCGCACCCAACUCAACACUACCACCUGUAAUCAACGCUCUCGAGGUGUUCUCCGUCAUCCCUACGACCAUCAUCGGCACAGACUCCAGAGAUGGUAUGUGCAUUCUGUACAGACACGUAUAA